rnacentral:rRNA from 1 species
UACGUAGGGCGCAAGCGUUAUCCGGAAUUAUUGGGCGUAAAGAGCUCGUAGGCGGUUUGUCGCGUCUGCCGUGAAAGUCCGGGGCUCAACUCCGGAUCUGCGGUGGGUACGGGCAGACUAGAGUGAUGUAGGGGAGAACGGAAUUCCUGGUGUAGCGGUGAAAUGCGCAGAUAUCAGGAGGAACACCGAUGGCGAAGGCAGGUCUCUGGGCCGAUACUGACGCUGAGGAGCGAAAGCGUGGGGAGCAAACAGG